rnacentral:tRNA from 2 species
GCGGCGAUGGCGAAAGGGUAAACGCGCAGGGAGAACUCCGCGAGGGUUCGAAUUCUUCCGGCCGCACCA